rnacentral:rRNA from 1 species
UACGGAGGAUGCAAGCGUUAUCCGGAAUGAUUGGGCGUAAAGCGUCCGCAGGUGGCUAUGUAAGUCUGCUGUUAAAGAGUGAGGCUCAACCUCAUAAAAGCAGUGGAAACUACAUGGCUAGAGGUGCGUUCGGGGCAGAGGGAAUUCCUGGUGUAGCGGUGAAAUGCGUAGAGAUCAGGAAGAACACCGGUGGCGAAGGCGGGAUCCUGGGCCAGUACUGACGCUGAGGAGCGAAAGCGUGGGGAGCAACAGG